rnacentral:rRNA from 1 species
AGGGUUCGAUCAUGGCUCAGGACGAACGCUGGCGGCGCGCCUAACACAUGCAAGUCGAACGGAGAUGGAGGAGCUUGCUUUUCCAUCUUAGUGGCGGACGGGUGAGUAACACGUGAGCAACCUGCCUUUCAGAGGGGGAUAACGUUUGGAAACGAACGCUAAUACCGCAUAACAUAUAGCUAAGGCAUCUUAGGUAUAUCAAAGGAGGAAUCCGCUGAGAGAUGGGCUCGCGGCCGAUUAGAUAGUUGGCGGGGUAAAGGCCCACCAAGUCGACGAUCGGUAGCCGGACUGAGAGGUUGAACGGCCACAUUGGGACUGAGACACGGCCCAG